rnacentral:lncRNA from 1 species
CCUAAAUGUUCUGGUUUUCGUGAUGUUUAUCCACUUGCUAUAAUUUGUAUUCUUGAUUAGAUUAGGCAGAGUAACCCCUUAUCUAGAAACCUCUUGGAAGAAAGUAUCAGGGAAUCAUCAUAGCAUGUUUGGUUGCUAGAAAUGAUAGGUCAAAUUAUUGCUGUUGCCCCUUUUUCAGAUGUUUGCAUUUGUUGUAAGUGCAGAGCCUGUAAGCAGGGCCGGCCCUGGGGCAGGUCAAACUGGGCGACCGCCCCAUGCCCCAGGCCUAGACCUUGUAUUGAUGUUCCAAUAGGGUGCAAGGAUGGCUUUCUACAAUAUUAUAAUAAGAGAAAUAAUUAAAUAGGUUAAUGAUGGGUUUUAUACACUGCUUAAC